GGGGAUGUAUUUUGGUUUCGACGGUAUUUUUGAAAUAUAAAUAGCGAGUAGUGGAUGGUCGCUUUGGCCACUUUAAAAAAGCGAAAUAAAAAUAAACGCUGAUAAUGAAUUAGCAUACGCUGCCUAAGUAUGGCAACGUCGUUUUACUGUGAGGCCUACUGGUACAGAUAAAGCGUCGAAAUAAAGUAGGAAACAAAAUUGCUCUUCGCCUUAAGAACAAUGGGUAUUAUAAAGGCUACUAAGAAUUUAAGCGUGUUUAUUUGCAAGAAUUCAAGGGAAUUUUAAAUAAUAAACUACACUCGUAGAAGUUUAUAUAGAAAGAAUAUUGGACGAGGGUUCGACUCCCUCCAUCUCCACCA
rnacentral:tmRNA from 1 species